rnacentral:lncRNA from 1 species
AUGCAAACUAUUGCCUUUGGAGUGGAUAAGCCAUGAGAUCCUGCUGUAUAGCUCAGGAAACUGACUAUAUCUAGUCACUUGUAAUGGAAGUGCUGGAGGAUAAUGUGAGAAAAAGAAUGACUGGGUCACUUUGCUAUACAGCAGAAAUUGACAGAACAGUGUAAGUCAAGUGUAAUAGAAAAAAUAAGAACCUAAAAGAAUGGAAUUACUCACAAUACACUUUUUUGAAACUGAACAACAUGUAGGGAAUGUAUUUGGUGUUUUGUGAUCUUCUAUAGCCGUCCUUGUCCCAGGCUAGGGGCUGAAUUGGAGCUACAGCUGCUGGCCCACAUCACAGCCACAACAACGUCAGAUCGGAGCUGCAUCUGUGACCUACACCACAGCUCACAGCAACACCGGAUCCUUAACCCACUGAGUGAGGCCAGGGAUUGGACCCGCAUCCUCACGAAUACUAGUCAGAUGCGUUUCUGCUGUACCACAGUGGGAACUCCUGUUGUUGAUUUUUAAAAGGGAGUGCAAACUGAGAAGUUUUGAUGUUGAAAUAAUUGAAUACUCAAGAACCCAGUCUUUUAAGUUACUUCAUGUCUCCAAGCCUCAGAUCUCUCCUGUAUAAAAUGGGUAUUAUAAUAUCUGGAAAUGAAACAUGUGCAUUGAUAGAAUCAUGUAGUAUAAGUAAAAUGCUGGGUUGCAUGUGAACUCUCUACAUGGAAAUCUAUUCAUUUGCAUGGGGCUCUCGCCUUAUUCACUGGGAGCACAUAGGGUCUGGCACGGUCCCCUCCCCACUGCACGAGGCUUCCUAGUAGCUGCCGGUGGCACAGGCAAGCCCACUGCCCUCUUGCUGUGUUGUGACCAGAGUUGAGAUGUCGGUCCUAAUUCUGAAAGCCUGCCUUCAGACAUUUAUACGUUCAGACAAACUAAUCAGGCUGAAAUUUCUCUUGCUUAUUUGCAGCUAGAUGAAGCAAUCCAUUUAGUUGUUCUGGAAUUACCCAGGCGUGGAAGAAAUUGGUUUCUCAGCCUUGAGAAAUUCUGCAGAUAGUGAGAUACUGACAGGCACCAGGGCUGGCUGGGUGGAAAGGGACACAAGGGGGCCUGGGUGUGGCUCCUGGUCAGGACCUCUGCCCUGGCUGAACUGGGACUCCACAUCUGCUUCAGCUCACACUGUGGCCAGUGUAUAUCAUGAAGUGAGUCCUCGUCUCAUCCUCUGAGGGGCCCUGAGCUUCUCACCAGGAAAGCAGAGCUUUGGUUUCCUUUUCCUUUCAGGUUUCUUAGUGGUCGACAGAGAUGAGAUGAGAUGUUUGCUGAUGGUGUUUCUCCUUUUCCUGAGAGGCCCAGGUGCCCAGUUGCUUUCUGUUAAAACCCCACCAAUCUAGUCUUUGAGCCGUCGCUAAGGGCUGUGGGGCAGGAGAGCUUGGGCUGAGCUUGGGCUUCCAGAUUGCAGAAUGUGUGAGACCUCCUUUCAUCAGUCUUCACAACCCAGGUAGGAAGAGACAGGGAGACGGAGGGAUGGAGACGAAUGAGCCCAGAGACCAGCACUAGGAAAUGGAAGAACUGAGACUGGAAUCUAGUAAAUGGAAGAACUGAGACUGGAAUCUUUGCUGAGAGUGGCGCCAUUGUUGGUGCUUUUAACCACCACAUGAUACCAGCUUUCAACAAAUACCUGCUUAUCCCAGUGUGUUUUGUACUUGUCUGCAGCACGGGGUUUUUCAUUCAUUUGCCAGUUCCAUUGUUGCACUCAGAGCAUACAGAGACAAAAAGAUAUAAUUCUGGUUCUCAGAGGAAAUUUUCAUAUAAUUGUAGAAGCAGCGGAAUAACUCUAAAUUGUUAUAUGAAAAUUACUCAUCUAUUUGAUAUACAGAUCUAAACCCCCAAAUCUCUGAAGAAUUUUGUCCUGAACGAUCAAAUAGAAUGAUCCUUACCUAAAAGGCACACCCAUUAUGCCCCAUCCCCACCUCAGUUCACACUUAGUCUCUUGAUUGUUUGCUUUAUUGGCAAUCCUGACAUGUUGGGUUAUCUGCUCUGUUGCCCCACAGUUGACUCGAAGUUUGAUAUAAUGGGGGAAACCAUCUCAGACAUGUACCACUUAUGAGUGUUUCGCUGUCCUCCUUUUUGAGAUCACGCUCUUUUGUCAUGAAUAUAAAAACAGCCCCUGCCGAAGAAAAGAUUCUCUUAGUGGUUUUCCAGGGUUUUGUGCAUGCACACUCUCCAUCCUCCAAGCCCCUCGCCCAUCCCAUUCUCCCUGAGAAUUACCAGUGUGUAGAGGGCGUUGUGUUUCUUCUCUGUACAUCCCAUCGGCGAAGGUUAGGUCGGGCUUUGCUUUCCAUCAUGCGUAUUAGAGGUUUUAAUUUUAGACUAUGAAAUGACAUUCUCAUACUAAACAUUCUCCUUUCAUCUACACCCCCUGCUAGGAGCCUAUCCGCUUUACCAAGAUGUGUUCUCUCUGGGGUGCGACCCUUGGUUAAGAACUACUGGCUCAGUCACAAGGGAGAAGGCUGGAGAGUGAUUAAAACAAACCCUAGGAUUCUAAAAAUCCUAGAAUUUUAGAAAUCCCAGGAUUCUAAAAAUAGAUGAGAUGAUUUGGAGGAAGAGAGCCUUGCAACCUCAAUCAGCCCUGCGAAUACUGUUCUCUUCGGGCUUAACCAUUGAUUUUCCUGACUUCAUAGAGAAGAUGUUACAUGAUACUGUUAGUGAUGACGCUGAUGGUCGUGGUGAUGAUGGUAGCAGCUACCACUGAGUAUGUGCUGAGCCUUGUGGGAGGCACUCUUCAUACUUACAGUUCUUCCAGGGGCCCCCUGUUAUUUCACCCCCAUUUUAGAUAUGAGAGGACUCACUCCUGGAGACAAGCUUUUCCCACGUCCCACACCUAGAAAGUGAGGUGCUGGGGUUUUAAGCCAUGUCACCUGAGACCAAAGGCCUGUGCUUCUAGCUAUGACACUCUACUGCAGCUUUGCAACACUUAUAUAAAGCUGUGCGUGCUACCAUCCUCUAGUGCUUCCUCUCACAGAGGUUUUACUCGCCUGAAUUGUCCUGAAUUGUCUUGGCUGUCACAAAGGGUUUUCUGGAGUGAUGACUUUUAUCUUUCAGAAACAGUUAAUAGAGCUCAUAUUUAGGCAGGUGAUGGCUGGACCUUGUUGCAGGAGCCAAGACUAGGUUCUGGAUCUUACCUGUCAUUAAGUGGUUUGGGGACUUUGGGAAGCUCCCUUCCCAUCCAUCACUAAUUGGUUAUUGUUCCCUUCCCUUUCCUUCUUUCUCCCGACAGCCCCCCCACCCCCCACACACACACACACACUUUUUCUUGCCGAGCCUCACAUCCUCUGCCAAUGGAUCAGAGCUGCCAUGUAAGACAGAACCUAUUUUCUGCUUCGGACUUGGUCUCUGCAGUCCCUUCCAUUUCUAGAACUCUUAUCUGAUUCUGUGGCAGGUGCAGCUUUGAUAAACUCUUUUUUGCUAGCUGACCAACUUGUCCCCCUUGAAUAGUGAGGGACAGCUGAGGUACAGAAUGUUAGUUACGUGUUCUGUGUGUGGCAGGAGUAGGAUCCUGGAGCCACGAAGGCUGGGAGGGCUGGAGUGGAGGUGGGUAAUGAAACUGUGCUCUCGAUUGUGGCUUUGCAGCUGGGGUUUUCUGAGAGGCCUGAGCCGACACAUGGAGCAGAUGCACUCCCCCUUGAGCAAUUGUUCCAGAUAUUUCAUUGAACCCGCACCUAAACUCUUUAAAGUAGGAAUUAGCUCAUGCCUUUUCUGAUAGGCAGUUGAACAGAUUGGUUCAGAGACUCCUGGGGCUUCAGUCUCAGCUCUGACGGGAGCUGUAAGACCUUGAGCAGGUUUUUUCUUAACCUCUCUGGGCCUUAGGUUCCUCCUCUGUAGAACCAGAGGUGAUGAUAAACCUACCCCCAGGGUUGGUGCAGGAUUCAGUGACUUUCUGUUUUGUGAGCACUCAGAACAGUUCCUGGGACAUAGUAUAAGAUGGAUGAUACCAUAUUUUUAGAUCAUCUGAUUCUCUAAACCAAAUGAGGUAGCUUCAUGCAUUGCAAAAAUACCAUUCAAAUAGUCUUUGUGACCAAAAAAUGUUCUAGUUUAAGCUGUAGCUGAUAAUCCGAGUUCAUGCAGUAGCAGUAAAAUUGGCCAGUUGGGAAUGACAGAAAGCAGUGAUUGAUGCCUGAAUUAACUGUGCAUUAAAGUCCCUAAGGAACUUCAAAAUCCACAGUGUUUCAUUCCUUUCCAAAUGAGUAGAAUGAGUAUGGACCCAGGAAGUUAGAGUCAUGGUUUUUGUUAUUGUUUUUUCACAAAAUUUCUCCAAGCAAUUCUGAUACAGCUCAUCUGUGGUCUCUGGACUGGUGUUGGGAAACCUCUGACUUGCAUGGUCUAAUGGAAUUGGUUGGUUAUAUUUAGUGGGGUGCACGAGAAUUUGAUAGAAAGUCUGACAGCAGUUGUCUACAUUAAAAUAAAUAUUUAUUAGGUAAUGUGGGAGAGGCUGCAUAGGCAAGCUUGUCAGAGAGAAAUUAUAGACAUCUAAAGACACCUAAAGCCCGGGGCUGAGAGUCUGGCUCUGUUUCUUAUCCAGGUCAGUUCACUGGCUGACUGGUUCUCUUGCCAUGGGGAUAAAGUGCCAAUGGAAGCUGUUAAUUGGCGUGGGAAGUGAGUGUGAUUGGAAAGAUUUGGGAGUGGGCAAUUUGUGGAUUGUGGUUUGUGGAAAGCAUGCUGGACCCCCAGGUCUGAGUGUGUAGAUGAGACAGCUCUGGGGGUAUGGGUUUUGCAGGGUGGAAGCUGCAGGUGGAGGGCACAGUGCAGAAGAUGCAGUGAGCAGGUAUUUGAGUGACUGGGUAGCAGACAGGGAGUUAGUCUAGGGGAAAAAAACAAGCUGGAGGCUGCAUUUUCUCUUCUUUUCUUUUUUGGGCUACACCCGUGACAUAUGGAGGUUCCCAGGCUAGGAGUCUAAUUGGAGCUGUAGCCCCUGGCCUAUACCACAGCCACAGCUACGCCAGAUCGGAGCCGCAUCUGCCACCUACACCACAGCUCAUGGCAACGCCGGAUCCUUAACCCACUGAGCGAGGCCAGGGAUUGAACUCACAGCCUCAUGGUUCCUAGUCCGAUUUGUUAACCACUGAGCCAUGACAGGAACUCCUGGAGGCUGCAUUUUCUAUUCAAAGGGGGAGCUUGGCGUAUCCUUGAGGAGGAGGAAUAGAAAGGGAGGGCUUUGAGAGGGUCAUUGAACACUUCCUCCUUCCCCUACUUUUCUCUUCUUCCUAUAGCUAAAACGUUUUUAAAAGCUUCUUAAUGAAGAGGUCACAGAAGCUAAGUGAGAUGCUAGGUUGGGUCAGUCAUAACCCUUGGACCAGCAUCUGGCAGCGGGUUUGGUUUUGUUGGUCCUGGCUGUGAGAUGGGGACUGGUAUCCUUACUUUGCAGAGCUGUCCUAGAGAUGGAAGAAACAGUGGUUGUGAGCGGCAGCUUUGUUAACUGUACUAUUCACACGUGCAGAAGUGUCAGCUGUGAUGUGGAGAGAGCAUGCGCCUUGGUAUUAAAGGAGAGAGCAGUCUUUGCCCCUAGGCGGAGGAGGGGUACUUGCUCAUGAGGGCAGAGCCUGAAAUCGCAGGCUCUAGAAACAUGCACCGUCAUCUUCACUUCCCUUGGGCUGAGGUGCAGGAGUAUCUGCCACCUUCCGGAGGUCUGCUGUAAGUGUGGCACUGUGCUAGCCGUCUGUGACGGUUUCUCACAGUGGCUCUUGCAGUUGGGCAGCUGGUUAUGCCCAGUUCCCAGAGCUCUGCUGUGACUUGGUGUCUUUCCGUUCUGUACUAUUACUGCAGGUAAGCAAGAGUGAGAUUGUUAGGGGUAACCCCGAUUCCAUCUCAUUGAUUUAAAAAAAAUAACAAAAUAUAAGAGAUCAUUCCCAGAUUCUGCUCCUGUCCCAUUAAGAAUAAAUGCUAUGUGGAGUUCCCGUCGUGGCUCAGUAGUUAAUGAAUCUGACCAGGAACCAUGAGAUUGCGGGUUUGAUCCCUGGCCUCGCUCGGUGGGUUAAGGAUCUGGCGUUGCCGUGAGCUGUGGUGUAGGUUGUAGACACAGCUUGGAUCCUGCGUUGCUGUGGCUCUGGUGUUAAGUUGGGGACUACAGCUCCAAUUAGACCCCUAGCCUGGGAACCUCCAUAUGCCGCG